rnacentral:rRNA from 1 species
AUUGAACGCUGGCGGCAGGCCUCACACAUGCAAGUCGAACGAGUAGCGGACGGGUGAGUAAUGUCUGGGAAACUGCCUGAUGGAGGAGGAUAACUACUGGAAACGGUAGCUAAUACCGCAUACCAUCGGAUGUGCCCCGAUGGGAUUCGCUACUAGGUGGGGUAACGGCUCACCUAGGCGACGAUCCCUAGCUGGUCUGCGCGGAGGACAAGCCACACUGGAACUUGGACACGGUCCAGACUCCUACUGUAGGCAGCAGUGGGGAGUAUUGCACAAUGGGCGCAAGCCUGAUGCAGCCAUGCCGCGUGUAUGAAGAAGGCAUUCGGGUUGUAAAGUACUUUCAGCGGGGCGGCGUUACCCGCAGAAGAAGCACCGUCUAACUCCGUGCCAGCAGCCGCGGUAAUAC